GGUGAGGCAGCUGAAGACUGCUGCUUGUCGGGGGGUCGCUGAGAGCAGCCCUCGGCAGAGCGGACGCACUCAGCUGGCGAGCGCCGCGUCUGCCAGGUUUCUUCACUUUUUUUUUUUUUUUUAAACAAGGAAGUAACUAAACAUGGCCAUUUUAGGUCAGCUCGUGUUGAGAGCUCUCCCAAGACGUACGUCCUCCAGUACGAUUUUAAGCAAGAACUUUGGAACCUGAAGCAGGCGAGACCCUGCUUCAACUAGAGGAGACCUCAUGGCCCCUCCGUACCUGGCUGGCACUGCACUCUGACCCUUCCCCCUCCAUUCUCAAGCAGAGGUUCUAAAAAGUCUGUAAAUCUGAAAAUAUCUAAAGUCCUGGCUCCAUGUUCAACAGCAAUCCAAAAGGAAGCAGAGAAGCAGCCACUGCAGUGAUUCAACAAUGAGCCGACACAACAGGCAAGAGGAGAAAUGGAAGACUGCAAUUCAGUCCUUGGGGCUGCACUGUGCACUCAACAAUCCGCUCUGCCGAGAUCGUCCAGC